GACGAACGCUGGCGGCGUGCUUAACACAUGCAAGUCGAACGGAAAGGCCCCCACUUUUUUGGUGGGGGUGCUCGAGUGGCGAACGGGUGAGUAACACGUGGGUGAUCUGCCCUGUACUUCGGGAUAAGCUUGGGAAACUGGGUCUAAUACCGGAUAGGACCAUGGUUUAGUGUCUCAUGGUGGAAAAAUUAUUGUUUUGGUGCAGGAUGAGCUCGCGGCCUAUCAGCUUGUUUGUGGGGUAAUGGCCUACCAAGGCGUCGACGGGUAGCCGGCCUGGGAGGGGUGGCGGGCCCCAUUGGACUGGGGUACCGGCCCGGAUUCCUAGGGGGGGAGGAGGUGGGGAAUUUGGAACAAUGGGGGCAGGCUGGAUCCGGGGACGCCGGGUGGGGAUGACGGCCUUCGGGUUGUAAACUCCUUUCGUUAGGGACGAAGCCGCACCUUUUUUGGGUGUGGUGACGGUACCUUUGUUAAGAAGCACCGGCUAACUACGUG
rnacentral:rRNA from 1 species